UGCCAGCAGCCGCGGUAAUACGUAAGUCGCAAGCAUUAUCCGGAAUUACUGGGCGUAAAGCGAUCGAAGGCGGACUUGUAAGUUUGAUGUUAAAUACCCACGGCUCAACCGGGGUGCUGCAUUGAAAACUGCAAGUCUGGAGUAAUGCAGAGGAAGCUGGAAUUUCCAUUGUAGGGGUAAAAAUCCGUAGAUAAUGGAAGGAACACCAAAAGCGAAGGCAGGCUUCUGGGCAUUUACUGACGCUGCACGAUCGAAAGCGUGGGGAGCGAAAGGGAUUAGAUA
rnacentral:rRNA from 1 species